rnacentral:rRNA from 1 species
AUGAGUACAAUUAGUGGCAGACGGGUGAGUAAUGCAUAGGAAUCUGCCUAGUAGUAUAGGAUAGCCACUAGAAAUGGUGGGUAAUACUGUAUAAUCCCUGCGGGGGAAAGAUUUAUCGCUACAUGAUGAGCCUAUGUUAGAUUAGCUAGUUGGUGGGGUAAUGGCCUACCAAGGCAUUGAUCUAUAGCUGGUCUGAGAGGAUGAUCAGCCACACUGGAACUGAGACACGGUCCAGACUCCUACGGGAGGCAGCAGUGGGGAAUAUUGGACAAUGGGCGCAAGCCUGAUCCAGCUAUGCCGCGUGAGUGAGGAAGGCCUUAGGGUUGUAAAACUCUUUCAGUGGGGAAGAUAAUGACGGUACCCACAGAAGAAGUCCCGGCAAACUCCGUGCCAGCAGCCGCGGUAAUACGGAGGGGGCAAGCGUUGUUCGGAAUUAUUGGGCGUAAAGGGCAUGUAGGUGGUUUGGUUAGUUAAAGGUGAAAUGCCAGGGCUUAAC